AAUGUGAGCGUUUUCAGACUUUUGGCUACAUUGCUACUAAUAGAAAAGACGACCUCAGAAGGACUUAGUCACUUCCUCAGCUUUUUGGGGUGUGGCUAUGACUUGGAAUUAUUGGUAUCACUUAGUAAACACUGUUUGAUCUAGCAUUUGCCUUCUCUCCCAAUUAAAAAUAGAGUCUGGCCAACAAUGACAGGUCCCCACCACCAGGUAUUGGCCUCAGUCUGUUUCAGUGAAAAGCAUUACAGCCUUCUAAUUGGCAUUCUCUUCAGAAUUUGGCAAAUUUGGUCAAAGCAGACCAGCACUAUAGUAACCUUUCAUUAUCAAUGCAAAUCCUAACAGAAAAGCAUUCCAUUCUUCUUACAUUGUACGUCAUAAAUGAAACACAAUAAAUUUUAUUGUGAAACCUCCUAGGAAGACAUUCCUGAAUAGACAAAGCAGAAAAUGCUUGCAUUAUACUAAACAGAGCUAAAAUUUGAUAGUUGCUGGAAGGGUUGGCUAUAAGGAAUCUAGCUGUUUACAGGGGAAAUACCAAAUAGGCUACAUCAUUUGCAAGGAGAUGUUUUUGUAAGUACCAUGUCCAAAACCAUUUGGGUUUCAACUAUAUGAAGGUUAUUAUUGCAGAGAAUGGUGACCAGCUGUUCUUCAUUGCCUCCGAAAACAGAAUGAGAGAAAAAAUGGCAUUAAAGUGGAAUUGGAAGAAUUGAAGCUUCCUAAAAAUUUGAGUUUGUUAACAGGAGAAGGAUCCACACUAGGGAGUUAUAAAAUGAAUGCCUUUCAUUUUCUGUUGCUUUUAGAAAUAAAAAGUGGCACUUUUAAGACAAUUCAGGUAAAAUUUUGUCCAUCAAUAAAAUACUGAAUUUGAUAAUCUUACAAAUUUCUAUUAAAAAUAAUUUCAAAAAUAUUUAAGAAAUAUGACUAUUGGAAAUUAGGCUAUGUCUGGAGAAUAAUUCAUCCAGUCAUGCUAUGGUGUCAGGGAAUAUUGUAAAAUGAGAGAGUAUUAUUAAAAGAAUCCUGUCGGAAAUGUGUGCAUUUCAUGCCAUAGAUUUAUGCAGGCAUAUUCUAGGAAGAAGGAUAAUGACUUCCCUGUAAAUUAAUAUUGUCUUCAGAAAUAUCUAAAUUUACAAAUAAAAGAUAAACAGCCUGGGCACGGUGGCUCACGCCUGUAAUCCCAACACUUUGGGAGGCGGAGGAGGGCGGAUCACCUGAGGUCAGGAUCACCUGAGCUCAAGACCAGCCUGGCCAACAUGGUGAAACCCUGUCUCUGCUAAAAAUACAAAAAUUAGCUGGGUGUGGUGAUGCAUGCCUGUAUUCCCAGCUACUUGGGAGUCUGAGGUAGGACAAUCACUUGAACCCAGGAGGCAGAGGUUGCAGUGAGCCGGGA
rnacentral:lncRNA from 1 species